rnacentral:rRNA from 1 species
AACGAACGCUGGCGGCAGGCCUAACACAUGCAAGUCGAGCGAGGACUUCGGUUCUAGCGGCGGACGGGUGAGUAACGCGUGGGAAUGUGCCCUUCUCUACGGAAUAGCCCUGGGAAACUGGGAGUAAUACCGUAUACGCCCUUUUGGGGAAAGAUUUAUCGGAGAAGGAUCAGCCCGCGUUGGAUUAGGUAGUUGGUGGGGUAAUGGCCUACCAAGCCGACGAUCCAUAGCUGGUUUGAGAGGAUGAUCAGCCACACUGGGACUGAGACACGGCCCAGACUCCUACGGGAGGCAGCAGUGGGGAAUCUUAGACAAUGGGGGCAACCUUGAUCUAGCCAUGCCGCGUGAGUGAUGAAGGCCUUAGGGUUGUAAAGCUCUUUCAGCUGGGAAGAUAAUGACGGUACCAGCAGAAGAAGCCCCGGCUAACUCCGU